rnacentral:rRNA from 1 species
GAUCCUGGCUCAGGAUGAACGCUAGCUACAGGCUUAACACAUGCAAGUCGAGGGGCAGCAUGACCUAGCAAUAGGUUGAUGGCGACCGGCGCACGGGUGAGUAACACGUAUCCAACCUACCGAUUAUUCCGGGAUAGCCUUUCGAAAGAAAGAUUAAAUACCGGAUAGUAUAACGAGAAGGCAUCUUUUUGUUAUUAAAGAAUUUCGAUAACCGAUGGGGAUGCGUUCCAUUAGUUUGUUGGCGGGGUAACGGCCCACCAAG